UCCGUAGGCGGUGUGGCAAGUCGGAAGUGAAAUCUCUGGGCUUAACUCAGAGGCUGCUUCCGAAACUGCCGUGCUAGAGUGCGAGAGAGGCAAGUGGAAUUGCGGGUGUAGCGGUGAAAUGCGUAGAUAUCCGCAGGAACAUCCGAGGCGAAAGCGGCUUGCUGGAUCGCAACUGACGCUGAGGGACGAAAGCUAGGGGAGCAAACAGGAUUAGAUACCCUGGUAGUCCUAGCCCUAAACCAUCAGGACUUGGGGUUUGCCCUGUACGGGGCAAGUCCCGUAGCUAACGCGUUUAAGUCCUGCGCCUGGGGAGUACGGUCGCAAGGCUGAA
rnacentral:rRNA from 1 species